UUGCAAACUUGAUCACUAGCUCUGCGUGAUAUUGCAGAAGGGGAACAGGUUUGCUAAAGUAAAAAUGGUCAUAGAACUAUAUUAGUCUUAGAAAUCAAAUGAUUGGGGCUGUUCAUUCUAUACCAUGAUAAGG
rnacentral:snoRNA from 1 species